AGUGAACGCUGGCGGUAGGCCUAACACAUGCAAGUCGAACGGCAGCACAGUAAGAGCUUGCUCUUACGGGUGGCGAGUGGCGGACGGGUGAGGAAUACAUAGGAAUCUACUUUUUCGUGGGGGAUAACGUAGGGAAACUUACGCUAAUAGCGCAUACGACCUACGGGUGAAAGCAGGGGAUCUUCGGAACUUGCGCGAUUGAAUGAGCCGAUGUCGGAUUAGCUAGUUGGCGGGGUAAAGGCCCACCAAGGCGACGAUCCGUAGCUGGUCUGAGAGGAUGAUCAGCCACACUGGAACUGAGACACGGUCCAGACUCCUACGGGAGGCAGCAGUGGGGAAUAUUGGACAAUGGGCGCAAGCCUGAUCCAGCCAUACCGCGUGGGUGAAGAAGGCCUUCGGGUUGUAAAGCCCUUUUGUUGGGAAAGAAAAGCAGCAGGUUAAUACCCCGCUGUUCUGACGGUACCCAAAGAAUAAGCACCGGCUAACUUCGU
rnacentral:rRNA from 1 species